GAAGCUGACCAGACAGUCGCCGCUUCGUCGUCGUCCUCUUCGGGGGAGACGGGCGGAGGGGAGGAAAGUCCGGGCUCCAUAGGGCAGGGUGCCAGGUAACGCCUGGGGGGCGCAAGCCCACGACCAGUGCAACAGAGAGCAAACCGCCGAUGGCCCACGCAAGUGGGAUCAGGUAAGGGUGAAAGGGUGCGGUAAGAGCGCACCGCGCGUCUGGUAACAGUUCGCGGCAUUCAUAAGGUACGGCCCGUACUGAACCCGGGUAGGCUGCUUGAGCCAGUGAGCGAUUGCUGGCCUAGAUGAAUGACUGUCCACGACAGAACCCGGCUUAACGGUCAGCUUCCUCA
rnacentral:RNase_P_RNA from 1 species